rnacentral:misc_RNA from 1 species
GAUGAAGAACGUAGCGAAAUGCGAUAAGUAAUGUGAAUUGCAGAAUUCAGUGAAUCAUCGAAUCUUUGUACGCACAUUGCGCCCCCUGGUAUUCCGGGGGGCAUGCCUGUCCGAGCGUCAUUACAACCCUCAAGCUCAGCUUGGUGUUGGGCCCCGCCGCCCCGGCGGGCCCUAAAGUCAGUGGCGGUGCCGUCCGGCUCCGAGCGUAGUAAUUCUUCUCGCUCUGGAGGUCCGGUCGUGUGCUCGCCAGCAACCCCCAAUUUUUUUCAGGUUGACCUCGGAUCAGGUAGGGAUACCCGCUGAACUUAAGCAUAUCAAUAAGCGGAGGA